rnacentral:piRNA from 1 species
UGGCCAGACGAAUUGCCACAAAGUCCGAGA